GACGAACUGUGCGAACGUUAUUCGGAAUCACUGGGCUUAAAGGGCGCGUAGGCGGGUGCUCAAGUCUGUGGUGAAAUCCUCCGGCUCAACCGGAGAACUGCCAUGGAUACUGGGUGCCUCGAGGGUGGUAGGGGUAUGCGGAACUAUCGGUGGAGCGGUGAAAUGCGUUGAUAUCGAUAGGAACUCCGGUGGCGAAGGCGGCAUACUGGACCGCUUCUGACGCUGAGGCGCGAAAGCCAGGGGAGCGAACGGG
rnacentral:rRNA from 1 species